rnacentral:rRNA from 1 species
UGGGGAAUUUUGGACAAUGGGCGCAAGCCUGAUCCAGCAAUGCCGCGUGCAGGAAGAAGGCCUUCGGGUUGUAAACUGCUUUUGUACGGAACGAAACGGUCCGGGUUAAUACCCUGGGCUAAUGACGGUACCGUAAGAAUAAGCACCGGCUAACUACGUGCCAGCAGCCGCGGUAAUACGUAGGGUGCAAGCGUUAAUCGGAAUUACUGGGCGUAAAGCGUGCGCAGGCGGUUUUUGAAGACAGGCGUGAAAUCCCCGGGCUCAACCUGGGAAUUGCGCUUGUGACUGCAAGGCUGGAGUGCGGCAGAGGGGGAUGGAAUUCCGCGUGUAGCAGUGAAAUGCGUAGAUAUGCGGAGGAACACCGAUGGCGAAGGCAAUCCCCUGGGCCUGCACUGACGCUCAUGCACGAAAGCGUGGGGAGCAAACAGGAUUAGAUACCCUGGUAGUCCACGCCCUAAACGAUGUCAACUGGUUGUUGGGUCUCUUCUGACUCAGU